GACGAACGCUGGCGGCGUGCUUAACACAUGCAAGUCGAACGAAGGGCGAUGGAAGCUUGCUUCUAUCAAUCUUAGUGGCGAACGGGUGAGUAACGCGUAAUCAACCUGCCCUUCAGAGGGGGACAACAGUUGGAAACGACUGCUAAUACCGCAUACGAUCUGACCUCGGCAUCGAGGAUGGAUGAAAGGUGGCCUCUAUUUAUAAGCUAUCACUGAAGGAGGGGAUUGCGUCUGAUUAGCUAGUUGGAGGGGUAACGGCCCACCAAGGCGAUGAUCAGUAGCCGGUCUGAGAGGAUGAACGGCCACAUUGGGACUGAGACACGGCCCAGACUCCUACGGGAGGCAGCAGUGGGGAAUCUUCCGCAAUGGACGAAAGUCUGACGGAGCAACGCCGCGUGAGUGAUGACGGCCUUCGGGUUGUAAAGCUCUGUUAAUCGGGACGAAAGGCCUUCUUGCGAAUAGUUAGAAGGA
rnacentral:rRNA from 1 species